rnacentral:rRNA from 1 species
GGUUUAAAGGGUGCGCAGGCGGAAUAGUAAGUCAGAGGUGAAGCCCACAGCUCAACUGUGGAAUUGCCUUUGAUACUGUUAUUCUUGAGUGUAGUUGAAGUAGNCGGAAUAUAGCAUGUAGCGGUGAAAUGCAUAGAUAUGCUAUAGAACACCAAUUGCGAAGGCAGCUUGCUAAACUAUAACUGACGCUGAGGCACGAAAGCGUGGGGAGCGAACAGGAUUAGAUACCCUGGUAGUCCACGCCGUAAACUAUGAACACUCGCUGUUGGCAAUACACAGUCAGCGGCUGAGCGAAAGCGUUAAGUGUUCCACCUGGGAAGUACGAUCGCAAGGUUGAAACUCAAAGGAAUUGACGGGGGCCCGCACAAGCGGAGGAGCAUGUGGUUUAAUUCGAUGAUACGCGAGGAACCUUACCUGGGCUUAAAUGUAUAUUGACGUACUGAGAAAUCAGUAUUUCUUCGGACAAUUUACAAGGUGCUGCAUGGUUGUCGUCAGCUCGUGCCGUGAGGUGUCGGGUUAAGUCCCAUAACGAGCGCAACCCCUACUUCUAGUUACCAGCAUUUCGGAUGGGGACUCUAGAGGAACUGCCUACGCAAGUAGAGAGGAAGGUGGGGAUGACGUCAAAUCAGCACGGCCCUUAUGUCCAGGGCUACACACGUGCUACAAUGGCCGGUACAGAGGGCAGCUACAUAGCAAUAUGAUGCUAAUCUCAAAAGCCGGUCUCAGUCCGGAUUGGAGUCUGCAACUCGACUCCAUGAAGCUGGAUUCGCUAGUAAUCGCACAUCAGCAAUGGUGCGGUGAAUACGUUCCCGGGCCUUGUACACACCGCCCGUCAAGCCAUGGAAGUUGGGGGUACCUGAAGUCGAUUGCCGUAAGGCGUUGCC